GGAGAGGUGCCGGAGUGGUUGAACGGGCCGGUCUCGAAAACCGGUGUGGGGGAAACUCCACCGAGGGUUCGAAUCCCUCUCUCUCCGCCA
rnacentral:tRNA from 1 species